AUGGUAACAGGCAGACGGACCUGAGAGAAGCAAGGCUGCAGAGAGACUGUAGCCAUCACCAAACAACAAAUCAAAGGGAAGUGUCUCAGGAGAGAUUUAUAAUUAUCACACAUUUGUCCUUGCAGCCAAACCGGGAUGCAACAGAAAUCGUGCCUUUGGCACUAGCAUCUUAGGCCACAAAAUCAGCUGUCUUGAAAUUCUUACUAACUUUUGAACAUGGAACCCUACAUCUUCAUUUUGUACUGAUCUCCACAUAUUUGAUAGCUGAUCUGAAGGAGGAGAGAGAUAUUAUGAUGGGGGAUGAAGGGUAUGGGAGUGCAUGCUAUGGCUGCCUGAUGUCAAAGUUCUCCAGGUCUAGAGAGGAUUUAAGUUGCUGGAAUAAUCCACCCAGUCUUGCAGAUAUGAUUACAGAAUUGAUGGUAUGUGGAUAUCGGUGUGAUCAUAAAACACAAAAAGGACGUAAGGCAACAGCUUUGUUCUUCUCCAUAUGGAGAAAGUGUUUUUGUUCUACUUGGUAACAGGCCUCUUCAGUGUUUCUCGGAGACAUCAAUAAAUGAUUAUUUUCCAGCAUUCCAUCACAUGCCAAGUGUUUUACUCCCAUUUCCCUGAGGUUCUCGUCAGUCAGCACUUGUCUUGAAGCUCAGUACAGACAUGGUAUGGGU